rnacentral:sRNA from 1 species
AUUUUUUUCCUUCUUCU